AACUGAUUUCCUCAGGGAGACCAACAUCUCAUUCAAACCACGGCAGCCUGCAAAAGCUAGGCUUCGUUCUUGUGUGUGUGUCCAGGAUCUUUCGUGGGCCCAAAGAGGUGGAGAGGGUCUUUACUGCCUUACCGCUGGUAUUUGCCACAGAAGCAGAAGCGAAGGACCAAGACAUCUUACAGAAGAAAGGGUUUACAGUUCCAGAGUGAUGAGCAUUCAUGGUGACAGAGUUGAAGCAUAAAGCAUGACAGCAGGUGACAGGCAAAACUAUACAAGGAGGAAACUGAGAGCUCACACUUGACAAAGCAGAGAAUGGGAAUUGGAGUGUAAACUGAAGACCAGAAGCUGACCUUUGGAGACAUCUAGUCCAGCAGAGCAGCUGCUACAUUCUCAGUAUCUUCAACGUGAGACAACCAUGUCGGAAAAGCCAACCCAUAUCACUUUCAGGUUCUGAUGUCACCGUCUGGCCUAAGGACCCUGCAUGCACUGGUGCUACUGCGUAUGAACUCACAUAAGCGCACGCAAACACAUAAAAACAACAAGAUAAAGUUUCACAGCGAAACAUUCGCACCACAGCAUGGACGCUUCUCUCUGUACUUGGACAUAACUUCAGUGGAAUUUCAGAGAAUGCAGACAAAAAGAGUCAGAUGCUCCUGUCAAUACCUGCCUGUGGAUGCCAUCACCUCCGUCGGCUACGAGUUCAUGGGAAGCAGAUCCCUGAACAUCUCACACCUCACCACGGUCGUCUAGGCUAGAUGAAAUAGCUCUUCUGCCUUGAAAGACCUCCCGAGUGUGUGUCAGCCACCCGUGAGUCCAAAGCCUUCACAGUACUUACCAACAGGUACUCGGCAAAGAUUCUGCCUGCAGCCUGAAACUGAGCAAGCUCUCUCUUAGUCUAUGCCUGUAUCACAACCUAAUCACCCCAACGACGACCACCUCCCACUCCCCUCGCAGAGUGCCCACUCGCUUAAAACGCACUGGCUGUAAUGUUUAUUACCCAAUGAGGACACCAGUGUUAUUGAUAGCAGCAAUAAGGAUGCCAUCAAACAUGAAUGCUCACAUUCAGCAAGG
rnacentral:lncRNA from 1 species